UGAGUAUAUUUGUUAGGACCCGAGAGGCUUUGAACUAAGCGUGAUGAGAUUGAAGUCAGACGAAAGUCUGAUGGAGGAUCGAAUUGAUACUGACGUGCAAAUCGUUCAUUUCAAUCACGUUUAGGGGCGAAAGACUAAUCGAAAAGCCUAUUAGCUGGUUAUUUUCGAAAGAUCUCUCAGGAUCGCUGGAGUUGAUUAAUAUAGUUUUACGAGGUAGAGAUAAUGAUUAGAGGAAUCAGGGAAAUCGUUUUCCUUGACCUAUUCUCAAACUCCCAAUACGUAAUAAGGGAUUAAUAUCUUUAUUGUAUUUUUCCCACUAUAAAUAAGAUAACUCCAAGUGGGCCAUUUUUGGUAAGCAGAACUGGCGAUGAGGGAUGCUCCUAACGCUUGGAUAAGGUGCCUAAAUAUUCGCUCAUGAGAUCCCAUAAAAGGUGUUGGUUCAUAAUGACAGUAGGACGGUGGUCAUGGAAGUCGAAAUCCGCUAAGGAGUGUGUAACAACUCACCUACCGAAUGAACUAGCCCUGAAAAUGGAUGGCGCUAAAGCGGAUUACCGAUACCAAGCCAUAGAAAGAGAUUUAAGGGUUAUUUGGGUUCGUCCCUAUUAAUCUUUUUUUGAAUCUUUCUAUGAGUAGAAAAUCGUGGGGUUUGUGUAGAAGCAAGAUGCGUGAGCUCUUGUGGAACAUAUCCCUAGUGCAGAUCUUGGUGGAAGUAGCAAUUAUUCAAAUGAGAACUUUGAAGACUGAAGUGGAGAAGGGUUUCUUG
rnacentral:ncRNA from 1 species